rfam:Bacillus methanolicus MGA3, complete genome.
UGGGCAGUAUCUUACAAGAACUGCACCUUAUCUUUAUUUUUCAUUAAGCAUAUUUCUGCCUAGAUCCAAUAAGGACCGGGACAGAGGG